ACUCAAAUGAAUUGACGGGGGCCCGCACAAGCAGCGGAGCGUGUGGUUUAAUUCGACGCAACGCGAAGAACCUUACCAGGGCUUGACAUGUACACGAAGACGGCAGAGAUGUCGUUGCCCUUCGGGGCGUGUGCACAGAUGCUGCAUGGCUGUCGUCAGCUCGUGCCGUGAGGUGUUGGGUUAAGUCCCGCAACGAGCGCAACCCUCGUCGCUAGUUGAAUAUCUAGCGAGACUGCCGAGACAAACUCGGAGGAAGGUGGGGAUGACGUCAAGUCAGCACGGCUCUUACGUCCUGGGCUACACACACGCUACAAUGGUCGGUACAAUGGGCAGCGAUAGGGCGACCUGGAGCGAAUCCCAUCAAAGCCGGCCCCAGUUCAGAUCGCAGUCUGAAACUCGACUGCGUGAAGGCGGAGUUGCUAGUAACCGCAGGUCAGCACACUGCGGUGAAUACGUUCCCGGGCCUUGCACACACCGCCCGU
rnacentral:rRNA from 1 species